rnacentral:lncRNA from 1 species
UUUCAUGCUUGAAAUAGUUCAACAUCAUUUCAGUCUCAAAACGAAAAGCCCUAAGUUGAGACCUCAAAGUCAUAAACCCAAUUCACCCUACCAAUUUUGUCAUCACCCCACCUCCCUUGUGCCUCCACUAUCUCCACUAUCACACCGUCAAGUGCUCCCGCCGCCUCCUUGUGCCGCCUACCUCUCAACCUCGCCCUCCCCUGAUAACAAGGCCAUUAGAGACUACUCGCACCGCGACACCUCCACCACCUGCUCUAUCCAACUAUCGUUUCCCAGUGUUCCGCUUUGACCUCGACGGGGUGCGCCCACUGACCUGUGCUAUCACCAUCUUAGCCGCUAUAACUACCGUGUUGCGAUCGCCUCCCUCUCCCCCAAACCCCUUUCUACGAUCAUUAGUGAUUGGAUACCCCAGCUCUCGAAUCCUAGCGCC